rnacentral:misc_RNA from 1 species
CCCAACAACAAACCAGCAGAGCUUUCUCGGGAGCCCUGGCGCACUCACCCAGACACAACCUGUCUUUCCUCUCUCCCUGUGUUUGUCUCUCUCUGCUGCCUCUUGUGCGUGCAUGCCAGACUGACGGGCGCAUUCAGUCUCUACAAGUCUUUUCACGCAUCGUGACACAUCGCCAUCCAGAGAUACACAAACCUCACCCUCUCCCUCCCCUCAACUCCGCACCUUCACCUUCCACACCCGGCUUCAUCCACGCAUCGCUUUCGACGUGCCCAUCAUCAUCAUUUUUUUUUGUUGUUUUCUUCUAGAGAAAGUGCGCGUGCGCGCCUAAUCGUUUCUUAUUACUAUUUUAUUUGCUCGUUACGGCUCUCUUCUGUACUCGAUCCUCCCGUAGACGCACAAGUCAGCGCCAGCGAACGCCUCGCUGUUGGACAGCACCGAGGGUGCACGGCCGCCUUCUGCUUUUUUGCCCACAUAUAUAUAUGUGGGCGCUUUAGUGGUGGUGGCUCUGCUCACAAGUGCGCUUUCCAUGCUGUGUAUCACAUACCUCUUUCAUCUCAGCAGUUUUCACACCUCCUCUUUCUUCUAGGCACCUCGUUUUGCUUCUUUCAAUAUAGAUUGGGCUGUUUUUCGAGUUGUCUUCUCGGCGGGUGGACACGAGUUUGGCGAUAGCCGAAGGGCUUGUUUGGUUCUUGCUCUCUCCGCAGACCCUUCACUCACAUCCUUGUUGUUGCAUCUCCACUUGUCUCCAUCUCUCUCUCUCUUUCUGUUUCUCUCCUGAGGCCACAG